CCGAGGGCGCCAUAAGAACUGCUAACUCUUUAAUCUGGAACUAAUAAACCAGCCCCCUC
rnacentral:tRNA from 1 species